AGCGAACGCUGGCGGCAGGCCUAACACAUGCAAGUCGAACGAACUCUUCGGAGUUAGUGGCGGACGGGUGAGUAACACGUGGGAACGUGCCUUUUGGUUCGGAAUAACUCAGGGAAACUUGUGCUAAUACCGAAUGUGCCCUUCGGGGGAAAGAUUUAUCGCCAUUAGAGCGGCCCGCGUCUGAUUAGCUAGUUGGUGAGGUAACGGCUCACCAAGGCGACGAUCAGUAGCUGGUCUGAGAGGAUGACCAGCCACACUGGGACUGAGACACGGCCCAGACUCCUAUGGGAGGCAGCAGUGGGGAAUCUUGCGCAAUGGGCGAAAGCCUGACGCAGCCAUGCCGCGUGAAUGAUGAAGGUCUUAGGAUUGUAAAAUUCUUUCACCGGGGACGAUAAUGACGGUACCCGGAGAAGAAGCCCCGGCUAACUUCGUG
rnacentral:rRNA from 1 species